GUGACAAUAAAUCACAAUGCGGGACUAUCAGUCUUGCAAUUGGAUUGAGAACAAUGUACAACUCUUAUCGAUAAGCCAUUGGAGGGCAAGUCUGGUGCCAGCAGCCGCGGUAAUUCCAGCUCCAAUAGCGUAUAUUAACGUUGUUGCAGUUAAAAAGCUCGUAGUUGAAGUGUGGGUGAUCGCUGUUGUGAGACUUCGGUCUCUCGACAGUAAGUCACCCCCUUCCAGUAUCCAGUAGUGGGUAUUCAGUUACUUACUAUUGUGUGUUGGUCGUUUACUGUGAGAAAAUUAGAGUGUUCAAAGCAGGCGUUUGCUUGAAUAGAUUAGCAUGGAAUAAUAAUUGAAGGCUUUCGUGUUCGAUUUGAUUGGUUUGUUCAUGGAAGCAAGGUUAAAAGGAACAGUUGGGGGUAUUCAUAUUCACUAGUUAGAGGUGAAAUUCUCGGAUUUAUGGAAGAUGAACAAGUGCGAAAGCAA
rnacentral:rRNA from 1 species